GCUUCCUUGGAAAGAAUCCAUGUUCUCUACAUCCCACCCAUUUCAAGAAUACAGAAAGGCCUAUGGAGAUGGCUCUGUAGGGCUGGAGCACCGGCGGCGAGGCAGCACAUGGGGGGCAGAUGGAAAGGAGCUUAGAGGACUGAAAUCUCGCCAGCCCUUUCCUGGAACUCCGGAGACUGAGAUGAGCAAGGAGGCACAUGUGAGCUCCAGAUCCAUCAGAGACAGACACCACUCCACUGUGGACACAAGGCCAGGACUCACCCAGUGACUCCCAGGGAGGUGGUACUUGGCACAAAAGAAGGGCAUACAGUCCUGGGCAUCCACAGACCCUGGGGAGGUGAAGUCAAUUGCUGAUCUUGCAGAGCUGUUCUUUACAUGUCUCCAAAGAGGGGCAGCCUAAGCAACCUCGGGUCUCUCUCAGCACUGAAUCUAUGUGAAAUCACCCCUCCUCUCCAGCAUCCCCAGCAUUCCCCAAUGUCCUGCUUUGCCUGAAUUCU